UUUUUGAUUUUUUUUACUAAUUUUAUCAUGUUUAUUUUGGCAAAAGUAAUAGUAUAGAAAAACACAAAUUAUUUGAAGCUUUCCUAUUGGGUGGAAUAGAACUCUCCUGGAUCGAUGACGUGGCGGACAGAUCCAUGCCCCACACCCACCAUAGAUCCCAGCCCGGUCCCCACAUUGUCAUUGUGUUCAAAUUGGUUUGGCCCACCAGUCAGCGAGCAGUGUAUGGGGUCAACCCAACCGCUCUCUCUCCCUCCCCCACGAACCCCUCCUCCCUGUUAAGGAUUAAUUUAAUUCUAGUAAUCAAUGCUUAAAUCGGUUGUUUACGUCGGUUGUGGUUACCGACAUUGUAACUUUAACUGACUUGUAAGAAGGGUAUAAAUACCCAGUUUUCAAUAAGAUAGACUCUGUCAUUUGCUUUUAUUCUUUCACACUCCCUUCUAGAUCGAGAGAGAGAGAGCUCGCCGCCGUCCUCCUCCUCUCACCCAUGGCCUCCCCCACGCCCUCCUCCUCUUGCCCCUCCCUGCCCUUUUCCGUCACGCACGCACACUCGCACGCACUGAGCCCAUCGAGCCGUCCCCCCAGAUCUCCCUUCCCCUCCUCCAGAUCUCGCACCUCGCCAGCUCUGCCGGCGGCCUCACCCAUCGUUGCGGUGAUUGGUAAUCGACAUCCUCACGCGGGUGGACACCAUCUGCCAGAAGGAUGACAAGUACGACGCCGAGAAGCUUAACGGCGCN
rnacentral:lncRNA from 1 species